rfam:Ipomoea nil DNA, scaffold: scaffold1525, cultivar: Tokyo-kokei standard.
GUUACUUUGGCUGAGUGGUUAAGGCGUGUGACUGCUAAGUACAUGGGGUUUCCCCGUGAGAGUUCAAAUCUCUCAGGCAACU